UCCGAGGUAGCUCAGUCGGUAGAGCAGUUGGCUGUUAACCAAUUGGUCGCGGGUUCGAGUCCCGCCUUCGGAGCCA
rnacentral:tRNA from 1 species